rnacentral:rRNA from 1 species
CCUACGGGUGGCAGCAGUGAGGAAUAUUGGUCAAUGGGCGCGAGCCUGAACCAGCCAAGUAGCGUGAAGGAUGACUGCCCUACGGGUUGUAAACUUCUUUUAUAAGGGAAUAAGGUGCAGCACGUGUGCCUUUUUGUAUGUACUUUAUGAAUAAGGAUCGGCUAACUCCGAGCCAGCAACCGCGGUAAUACGGAGGAUCCGAGCGUUAUCCGGAUUUAUUGGGUUUAAAGGGAGCGUAGAUGGGUUGUUAAGUCAGUUGUGAAAGUUUGCGGCUCAACCGUACAAUGGCAAUUGAGACUGGCAGCCUUGAGUACAGUUGAGGUAGGCGGAAUUCGUGGUGUAGCGGUGAAAUGCUUAGAUAUCACGAAGAACUCCGAUUGCGAAGGCAGCUUACUAAACUGCCACUGACAUUGAUGCUCGAAAGUGUGGGUAUCAAACAGGAUUAGAUACCCCAGUAGUC